UGCUUUUUCAUUUCCUGACUUGGAAGGCUC
rnacentral:piRNA from 2 species